rnacentral:rRNA from 1 species
UACGUAGGUGGCGAGCGUUAUCCGGAAUUAUUGGGCGUAAAGAGCGCGCAGGUGGUUGAUUAAGUCUGAUGUGAAAGCCCACGGCUUAACCGUGGAGGGUCAUUGGAAACUGGUCGACUUGAGUGCAGAAGAGGGAAGUGGGAAAUUCCACGUGUAGCAGUGAAAUGCGUAGAUAUGUGGAGGAACACCGAUGGCGAAGGCAGCCCCCUGGGUCAAGACUGACGCUCAUGCACGAAAGCGUGGGGAGCAAACAGG